UGCAUCACGGCGCAUAUGUAG
rnacentral:miRNA from 1 species